GGGCAUUUGGCACAGUGGUAGCGCGCACGCUUCGCAUUGAUUUGAAACCAAUUCCUGCCUGCGUGAGGUCCAGGGUUCAAUCCCCUGAAUGUCCA